rnacentral:tRNA from 1 species
UCCUAGGUGACUUAAAAUGGUAAAGAAUCUGCCUGCAAAGCAAGAGACCCAGGUUCAAACCCUGGGUCAGGAA